rnacentral:scRNA from 1 species
CAGAUGAAAGGAACCUGAAAAUGGCACUCAGA